GCCUAACACAUGCAAGUCGAGCGGUAGAGAGAAGCUUGCUUCUCUUGAGAGCGGCGGACGGGUGAGUAAUGCCUAGGAAUCUGCCUGGUAGUGGGGGAUAACGUUCGGAAACGGACGCUAAUACCGCAUACGUCCUACGGGAGAAAGCAGGGGACCUUCGGGCCUUGCGCUAUCAGAUGAGCCUAGGUCGGAUUAGCUAGUUGGUGAGGUAAUGGCUCACCAAGGCGACGAUCCGUAACUGGUCUGAGAGGAUGAUCAGUCACACUGGAACUGAGACACGGUCCAGACUCCUACGGGAGGCAGCAGUGGGGAAUAUUGGACAAUGGGCGAAAGCCUGAUCCAGCCAUGCCGCGUGUGUGAAGAAGGUCUUCGGAUUGUAAAGCACUUUAAGUUGGGAGGAAGGGUUGUAGAUUAAUACUCUGCAAUUUUGACGUUACCGACAGAAUAAGCACCGGCUAACUCUGUGCCAGCAGCCGCGGUAAUACAGAGGGUGCAAGCGUUAAUCGGAAUUACUGGGCGUAAAGCGCGCGUAGGUGGUUUGUUAAGUUGGAUGUGAAAUCCCCGGGCUCAACCUGGGAACUGCAUUCAAAACUGACUGACUAGAGUAUGGUAGAGGGUGGUGGAAUUUCCUGUGUAGCGGUGAAAUGCGUAGAUAUAGGAAGGAACACCAGUGGCGAAGGCGACCACCUGGACUAAUACUGACACUGAGGUGCGAAAGCGUGGGGAGCAAACAGGAUUAGAUACCCUGGUAGUCCACGCCGUAAACGAUGUCAACUAGCCGUUGGAAGCCUUGAGCUUUUAGUGGCGCAGCUAACGCAUUAAGUUGACCGCCUGGGGAGUACGGCCGCAAGGUUAAAACUCAAAUGAAUUGACGGGGGCCCGCACAAGCGGUGGAGCAUGUGGUUUAAUUUGAAGCAACGCGAAGAACCUUACCAGGCCUUGACAUCCAAUGAACUUUCUAGAGAUAGAUUGGUGCCUUUGGGAACAUUGAGACAGGUGCUGCAUGGCUGUCGUCAGCUCGUGUUGUGAGAUGUUGGGUUAAGUCCCGUAACGAGCGCAACCCUUGUCCUUAGUUACCAGCACGUAAUGGUGGGCACUCUAAGGAGACUGCCGGUGACAAACCGGAGGAAGGUGGGGAUGACGUCAAGUCAUCAUGGCCCUUACGGCCUGGGCUACACACGUGCUACAAUGGUCGGUACAGAGGGUUGCCAAGCCGCGAGGUGGAGCUAAUCCCAUAAAACCGAUCGUAGUCCGGAUCGCAGUUUGCAACUCGACUGCGUGAAGUCGGAAUCGCUAGUAAUCGCGAAUCAGAAUGUCGCGGUGAAUACGUUCCCGGGCCUUGUACACACCGCCCGUCACACCAUGGGAGUGGGUUGCACCAGAAGUAGCUAGUCUAACCUUCGGGAG
rnacentral:rRNA from 1 species